rnacentral:rRNA from 1 species
AUUGAACGCUGGCGGCAGGCCUAACACAUGCAAGUCGAACGAGUGGCGGACGGGUGAGUAAUGUCUGGGAAACUGCCCGAUGGAGGGGGAUAACUACUGGAAACGGUAGCUAAUACCGCAUACCAUCGGAUGUGCCCAGCUGGGAUUAGCUAGUAGGUGGGGUAACGGCUCACCUAGGCGACGAUCCCUAGCUGGUCUGAGAGGAUGACCAGCAACACUGGAACUGAGACACGGGCCAGAAUCCUACGGGAGGCAGCAGUGGGGAAUAUUGCACAAUGGGCGCAAGCCGGAUGCAGCCAUGCCGCGUGUGUGAAGAAGGCCUUCGGGUUGUAAAGUACUUUCAGCGGGGAGGCGUUACCCGCAGAAGAAGCACCGGCUAACUCCGUGCCAGCAGCCGCGGUAAUUC